UACGUAGGGGGCAAGCGUUGUCCGGAAUCAUUGGGCGUAAAGAGCUCGUAGGCGGUUCGGCAAGUCGGGUGUGAAACCCCCAGGCUCAACCUGGGGACGCCACCCGAUACUGCUGUGACUGGAGUCCGGUAGGGGAGCGUGGAAUUCCUGGUGUAGCGGUGAAAUGCGCAGAUAUCAGGAGGAACACCAGCGGCGAAGGCGGCGCUCUGGGCCGGUACUGACGCUGAGGAGCGAAAGCGUGGGUAGCAAACAGG
rnacentral:rRNA from 1 species